rnacentral:rRNA from 1 species
AUUGAACGCUGGCGGCAGGCCUAACACAUGCAAGUCGAACGAGGGGCGGACGGGUGUGUAAUAUCUGGGAAACUGCCUGAUGGAGGGGGAUAACCACUGGAAACGGUAGCUAAUACCGCAUACCAUAAGAUGUGCCAAGAGGGGUUUAGCUUGUUGGUGGGGUAACGGCUCACCAAGGCGACGAUCCCGAGCUGGUCUGAGAGGAUGACCAGCCACACUGGAACUGAGACACGGUCCAGACUCCUACGGGAGGCAGCAGUGGGGAAUAUUGCACAAUGGGCGCAAGCCUGAUGCAGCCAUGCCGCGUGUAUGAAGAAGGCCUUAGGGUUGUAAAGUACUUUCAGCGGGGAGGCGUUACCCGCAGAAGAAGCACCGGCUAACUCCGUGCCAGCAGCCGCGGUAAUUC